CUCAGGAUGAACGCUAGCUACAGGCUUAACACAUGCAAGUCGAGGGGCAGCAUGAUCAAGGCUUGCUUUGAUUGAUGGCGACCGGCGCACGGGUGAGUAACGCGUAUCCAACCUUCCCCUUAGUAGGGCAUAGCCCGUAGAAAUGCGGAUUAAUACCCUAUGUUAUUCGUCGAGGACAUCUGAAGUGAAUCGAAAGGUUUACCGCUAAGGGAUGGGGAUGCGUCCGAUUAGGCAGCAGGCGGGGUAACGGCCCACCUGGCCGACGAUCGGUAGGGGUUCUGAGAGGAAGGUCCCCCACAUUGGAACUGAGACACGGUCCAAACUCCUACGGGAGGCAGCAGUGAGGAAUAUUGGUCAAUGGGCGCGAGCCUGAACCAGCCAAGUAGCGUGCAGGACGACGGCCCUAUGGGUUGUAACUGCUUUUAUGCGGGGAUAAAGUUCACUACGUGUAGUGUUUUGUAGGUACCGCAUGAAUAAGGACCGGCUAAUUCCGUGCCAGCCGCCGC
rnacentral:rRNA from 1 species